rnacentral:rRNA from 1 species
AUUGAACGCUGGCGGCAUGCCUUACACAUGCAAGUCGAACGGCAGCACGGGGGCAACCCUGGUGGCGAAGUGGCGAACGGGUGAGUAAUGCAUCGGAACGUGCCCUGAAGUGGGGGAUAACGUAGCGAAAGUUACGCUAAUACCGCAUAUUCUGUGAGCAGGAAAGCAGGGGAUCGCAAGACCUUGCGCUUUAGGAGCGGCCGAUGUCGGAUUAGCUAGUUGGUGGGGUAAAAGCUCACCAGGGCGACGAUCCGUAGCGGGUCUGAGAGGAUGAUCCGCCACACUGGGACUGAGACACGGCCCAGACUCCUACGGGAGGCAGCAGUGGGGAAUUUUGGACAAUGGGCGCAAGCCUGAUCCAGCCAUGCCGCGUGA